GGUUUGAUUCUGGCUCAGAUUGAACGCUGGCGGGAUGCUUUACACAUGCAAGUCGAACGGCAGCACGGUCUUCGGUCUGGUGAAGUGAGAGUGGCGAACGGGUGAGUAAUGUAUCGGAACGUGUCAGUAGCGGGGGAUAACUGGAGCGCGAAAGCGUAGCCACAAAUGCAGCUACUGCCCUUCGGGGAAAGCGGGGACCUUCGGGCCCGCACUAUUAGAGCGGCCGAUAUCGGCAUUAGCUAGCUGGUGGUAACGGCUCACCAAGGCGACGAUCCGCAGCUGGUUUGAGAGGACGACCAGCCACACUGGGACUGAGACACGGCCCAGACUCCUACGGAGGCAGCAGUGGGGAAUUUUGGAUACUGGGAAACCCUGAUCCAGCCAUCCUGCGUGCGGGUGAUGAAGGCCUUCGGGUUGUAAAGCACUUUUGGCAGGAAAAAUGGCACGGGAUAAUACCCCGUGCAACUGACGGUACCUGCAGAAUAAGCACCGGCCAACUACGUGCCAGCAGCCGCGGUAAUACGUAGGUGCAAGACCGGAAUUACUGGGUAAAAGCGUGCGCAGGCGUCUGAAAGAAAAGAGGGGAAUCCCAGAGCUUAACUUUGGAACUGCAUUUUUAACUACCGAGCUAGAGUGGGCUGGGAGGGAGGGAAUUCCGCAGAGCAGUGAAAUGCGUAGAUAUGCGGCGGAACCGCUGUGAAGCACCUAGACAACACCGACGCAUCGGUGCGUGGGGCAAACAGAUUAGAUGUUCUGGUAGUCCUAUUUUUGCCCAAACGAUACAACUGGCUGUUAAAGAGCCUUCAACCCAAAAAGAAGUGUUUAACAAGUGUAUAAUGUCUUCCAGGGUAUGUUUGCGAUUAAAAUCUCAAAGGAAUUACGGACUUCGCCAGCAGUGACAUGUGAUUGAAUUCGAUGCAAACAGCGAAAAUCUUUUUGACCACUCCUUGAUAUGUCUGGAAUCCCAAGAGAUUUGGGAGGUCGCGCGAGAACCGGAACACAGGUGCUGCAGCGGUUGUCGUUUUCGCUCGUGUCGUGAGAUGUUAAGUUAAGUCCCGCAACGAGCGCAACCCUUGUCAUUAGUUGCUACGAAAGGGCACUCAUCGAGAUCAAGCAGGACAAACCUGGAGGAAGGUGGGGAUGACGUCAAGUCCUCAUGGCCCUUAUGGGUAGGGCUUCACACGUCAUACAAUGGUCGGGACAGAGGGUCGCCAACCCGCGAGGGGGAGCCAAUCCCAGAAACCCGAUCGUAGUCCGGAUCGCAGUCUGCAACUCGACUGGUGAAGUCGGAAUCGCUAGUAAUCGCGGAUUUGCAUGUCGCGGUGAAUAGCUGUUCCUGGCCCUGUAUACACCGCCCGUCACACCAUGUGGAGUGGUUUUACCAGGAAGUAGUUAGCCUAACCGUAAGGAGGGCGAUUACCACGGUAGGAUUCAUGACUAGGUGAAGUCACCGGCGUAGCUCAGCCA
rnacentral:rRNA from 1 species